AUAAAAGAUUAGUAACUAAUACUGUAUAAAAUAUAGAUCAAGUUAAAGGAUAAUGGGAAGUAGAACUAAAUACCAUAAUUGAGGAUGAGGUCUGAGUUAUGUGAAGGAUGUCAUUAAAGAAUCAAUAGUCAACUAUGGAAAGAAAAAUGAGGUACACUUUAAAACCAAUCUACUUUAAUACUCCUGUAAUUUCUACAAAUGUAAAAGGACCAUCUGUUGCUUUGUGUUGGAGAAAAUGUGGUAAAACUGGAGAUCAUACCUGCAUAUUUGGGACUUUGGGAUUUAAGAUUUUGGAAAAAAUGUCCAAAAAGAAAUGCAUGGUCGAAAGUUCUCCAUAGGUGGCUUAAACAGGUCUAUGUAAUGGAAAAAAUGACUGAAUGUCUACAAAUGAAGACUGAAUUUUUUCUGAAGAGGUGGAAAAGUAUUACAGCAUAUUUAGAUAUGUAUAUUUAGAGGUUA
rnacentral:lncRNA from 1 species